rnacentral:lncRNA from 1 species
GUCCUUCUUUUGGGAAAGAUUGUUGCUUGGUACAUGGUAAGAUCAUUUGUUUGCUUUCAAUCCUAGAAGAUAUAAUGUCUCUGCAUAUUCAAAUUUCUUCAUGGUCAGUUGGGAACUUUCUUGAUUUAAAAUAGAGAUUCGACUAAGAUUUGUUUUUUUUUUUUAUUAUAGGAGAAGCUCCAGGAGAUGUUAACUAUUUUAAGGAGAAAGAAGUAUUAAAAAAAAUAUCCUGAAUUGUGAGUAAGUGAGAGAGGCACUCUGCAAUUUCCAGGGACAGGGUCUCAAAGAGGUGUUUAUAUUUGGAUAUGAGAAAAUGCACCAGUUCUUGUUGGAGGAAGGGCAGCUAUGCUUGCAAGAAAUGGACAAAGAAGCAAUAGAAGUCUUGGCAACUGAGAAGAGCAAGGCCAGAUCAUCUCAAAAGAUCCUCAAUCUGCAAAUGAUGCUCAAGGAGCCUCUUUAUCCUUUCUUCAAUCUUCACUUUCCAAAUGAGGAUGGCAUUCUUGGAUCUCUACAGAUCUUCUCCAUGACUAACUAAUAGAAUGUGAUGAAAGAUGACAAUUACUCAAAUGAGAUUUUCAAAUUUAAGCAACUAAAAACAACCCCUAAAACGACUUUUCUUUCAUUAGAAUCCAUUUUGAAUGUGUCAAUAAAGUUAUGUAUCAUUUACA